UGCUAUCUGAUAAUAGUAGUAACACUGACAUAUGCUUUGGAUGGUUUUUUAAUUUAAACUAUGUUUUAUGAUUCCU
rnacentral:snoRNA from 1 species